rnacentral:tRNA from 1 species
GGAGCGGUAGUUCAGUUCGGUUAGAAUGCCGGCCUGUCACGCCGGAGGUCGCGGGUUCGAGUCCCGUCCGCUCCGCCA